rnacentral:tRNA from 1 species
UUGGUAGAAGCCAAAUAGCGGCAUAUCACUGUUAAUGAUAAUAUUGAAAUUUUUUUUCCUACUAAG